rnacentral:rRNA from 1 species
ACUCCUGCGGGAGGCAGCAGUGGGGAAUAUUGGACAAUGGGCGCAAGCCUGAUCCAGCCAUGCCGCGUGAGUGAUGAAGGCCCUAGGGUUGUAAAGCUCUUUCACCGGUGAAGAUAAUGACGGUAACCGGAGAAGAAGCCCCGGCUAACUUCGUGCCAGCAGCCGCGGUAAUACGAAGGGGGCUAGCGUUGUUCGGAUUUACUGGGCGUAAAGCGCACGUAGGCGGACUAUUAAGUCAGGGGUGAAAUCCCGGGGCUCAACCCCGGAACUGCCUUUGAUACUGGUAGUCUUGAGUUCGAGAGAGGUGAGUGGAAUUCCGAGUGUAGAGGUGAAAUUCGUAGAUAUUCGGAGGAACACCAGUGGCGAAGGCGGCUCACUGGCUCGAUACUGACGCUGAGGUGCGAAAGCGUGGGGAGCAAACAGGAUUAGAAACCCGUGUAGUCC